AACGAACGCUGGCGGCAGGCCUAACACAUGCAAGUCGAGCGCGCCCUUCGGGGUGAGCGGCGGACGGGUGAGUAACGCGUGGGAACGUGCCCUUUUCUACGGAAUAGCCUCGGGAAACUGAGAGUAAUACCGUAUACGCCCUUUGGGGGAAAGAUUUAUCGGGAAAGGAUCGGCCCGCGUUGGAUUAGGUAGUUGGUGGGGUAAUGGCCUACCAAGCCGACGAUCCAUAGCUGGUUUGAGAGGAUGAUCAGCCACACUGGGACUGAGACACGGCCCAGACUCCUACGGGAGGCAGCAGUGGGGAAUCUUAGACAAUGGGGGCAACCCUGAUCUAGCCAUGCCGCGUGAGUGAUGAAGGCCUUAGGGUUGUAAAGCUCUUUCAGCUGGGAAGAUAAUGACGGUACCAGCAGAAGAAGCCCCGGCUAACUCCGUG
rnacentral:rRNA from 1 species